AAUUCGAGAUGAUUUAACGGGUACCAACAGCAAAAAUAUUUUUGAAUAAAAAAGUAAAAUACAAGGGAUAUAUUUGGAAUAAAAAAAUAGCGAUACAUAAGAUAUUUCAAAAAUAUUGGUGUAGUAUGUAGGUAAUUAUUUUUUUUCUAAAAAUGUAAAAAAAAUUUAUGAAUCAUAGAAAAUGUAGGGUGUAUAUAUAUAUAUAUAUAUAUAGUGCAUCUGGUAUGCUUAUGGAAGCACGGAGCGCUCCGUGCUUCCACUUUGUUUUCGAUAUUCAAACUUUUGAAUCGGUGAUCGGCUCCGUUAGAUUUGAUCUAGAGUAUUUGAAGUAUCUAGAAAAUAAAUUUUGUGAGUUUUC
rnacentral:lncRNA from 1 species